UCCUUGUGGCUGGCCUGGUGGUGUCUCUGCUGGCUUCCCAUUACAGCCCGGGGGGCUUGGUGCCUUUUAAACACAGCAGGGUAAUAAUGAACAAUGCCUCUAAAUAACACGGGACGUCCAGCACAGAAGUCGUCUACAUCAAUGAGCAGAAGGUGAUCGCCCAGAGACUGCACUUAAAUCUACAGUGACCAGUGAGUGUUGCCUGAGGAAGGUCUGCUCUUGUAGCCUUUCAUCAAUCAGGUAAACAACCUCAAGGUCAAUUUUAAACUGAUAAAUCAUUUCUACAGCAACGGUGGAUAAUUACACAAAUACACUGCCCUGCUCCCAAAACUGUGGCUUUAACCAAGCGAUCGACCUGGAAACACGCCAAGAUGAUCGAUGGCCGGGUUGGACACCCCUGGUAUACAGGCUAUGCGAUGCUGCGGUUGAGGAAGAAAAAGCGGCUCUCAUCAGACUGGCCCGCUUGGAAACGCGCUGUCCGCCCCUGACCAUGACACCGCCUGUUCAAAACAAUUCGUCCCGAUGAAC